rnacentral:rRNA from 1 species
UACGUAGGGGGCAAGCGUUGUCCGGAAUCAUUGGGCGUAAAGCGCGCGUAGGCGGCCCUUUAAGUCCGCUGUGAAAGUCAAAGGCUCAACCUUUGAAAGCCGGUGGAUACUGCAGGGCUAGAGUCCGGAAGAGGCGAGUGGAAUUCCUGGUGUAGCGGUGGAAUGCGCAGAUAUCAGGAGGAACACCAAUAGCGAAGGCAGCUCGCUGGGACGGUACUGACGCUAAGGCGCGAAAGCGUGGGGAGCGAACAGG